rnacentral:rRNA from 1 species
UACGGGGGGGGCAAGCGUUGUUCGGAAUUACUGGGCGUAAAGGGCUCGUAGGUGGCCAACUAAGUCGGACGUGAAAUCCCUCGGCUUAACCGGGGAACUGCGUCCGAUACUGGUUGGCUUGAGUUUGGGAGAGGGAUGCGGAAUUCCAGGUGUAGCGGUGAAAUGCGUAGAUAUCGGAAGGAACAUCAGUGGCGAAAGCGACUUCCUGGACCAAUACUGACGCUCAUGUGCGAAAGCGUGGGGAGCAAACAGG